CACUUAUGUCCGUAGGAUAUCCAGCAGGAAGAUCAGCCGCUUCCUCCAUGCCAGCACCCACAUGUAGGCCGCAAUGGUGUGUCGAGUCAAGGCUGCUCAUUGUUCGGCAUUUACCGAGACUCCAUGUUGUGAUCACUUCUAAAACACAAACCAAGGAAAUCAUGCAUAAUUAUAUUAAACUCCAAAAACUACACUCCAAAGUUUACGUUAUUAUACUGAAUCUAGUGGGG